rnacentral:siRNA from 1 species
UCCUAGCAGACUGGCCAUCGC